rnacentral:lncRNA from 1 species
CUUGCGUGAGGUUCAUGAAAUGCUGGAGGAAUUUAAGCGAUUGGCCAAGAUCUGGAGUAAGAUGAAAGGACUUAAGAUUCCUAAAAAGGGUGAUAUGAGUGCUAUGUCUCGGAAUAUGAAUGCACAGCACAUGAGUAAGGUGCUUCCACCUCAGAUGUUGAAGCAAAUCGGAGGAAUUGGAGGCUUGCAAUCGCUCAUGAAGCAGAUGAACUCCAAAGAGUUCUCCGGCAUGUUUGGAGGUGGUGAUGGUUUAGAUAUGAAGUAGUGUACUUGAACUGUAGGUUUUAUUACUCUUGAUUGGGUGUAGCUAUGGGGGACGAGAUCUUCAAGAGUGCUCUACAGGGUUGUAAAUUACCCCGUGUUGAUUACAGCUUUUUCAGAUAGUACCCUCCUGCACUCGCCAAACGGAAGCUUUUUCUGUGUAGAAACCUACCUUCGUCAGGUUUAAUUUAAUUGAUUAUGUUAAUAUGUUUUCAUCAAUAAAAUCACCAAAUGAAUGUUCUUAAUUUGAAAGCAAAAUACAAACUACAGAAGUUAAAAUUAUAAAUUUAAAAAGAUAGAUCUGAAUGAUUUGCUUUUGAUAUCCACAAUAACAUAAUUUGCAUUUGGGUGCUAAGUUAAAUGGUGGCGGAUUGAUAGGCAAUAACCUCAUUAGUUGUCAACAUCAAUAUAUGAUGCAAUGCAAAGUCAUUCUUGUCUAUAAUUCUGUCAAUUUUUGGAAUUGGCACAACUUAUCCACUGUCUAAAGUAUAGACUUGAUAUUCACAAAAUACAAGUUAUUGAUAAAAGACAUACAGUAAAUAAAAAAAUAAAUAAAGAAUUGUAUAAGUAUUGCAAAUGCCAUUCAGAUAAGAGCAAAAACAAAUAGAAUCAAGUAAUGAUUUUUCAAAUUGUUGCAAUUAGUAAACAUGUGCUUACUGAAGCAAAUAAAGAAAACAUGCAUUACUAUGAAAAUUAAAUAUAAAUGUACAUGGUUAUAUAUAUAUAUAUAUAUAUAUAUAUAUAAUAUGAAAUAAACAUUGUAUAUCUUUAACAAGGUUCACUAUCAUAACAUGUUUUGCAACUUGUGCAUAAUUCAAAUCUUACAAUUAUGGUGAAAAAAGUCGCCAACGAAUAAAUAAACAUCCAUGUUCUAAUGAGUAGCUGCCAACCACAAAGUCAUUAUAAACGAUUUAUAAAACAUGUAAUGCAUAUGAAGUGUUUGAUAAAUGUGUAUCAUAAAAGAAUUAAAAACACACAAUACUAAGGUAAACAAAGAAAACGAUAAAGAAAAAGAGCCAAAAAAAAAAAAAAAACACAAAAACACAAAAAACACAAAAAAAAAAAACAAAAAAAAAAUCAAAUUUUUAUCAUGCCAAUACCAUUUCAAUUAUUUUCAAAAAAUCAAACAUCACUAAUACAAUGACACUUGAUGAGAACAUAUAAAGUUUUCAUAAUCCAUUCCACCUACAAAUUUUAAAAAUGAAAAAGUAUAAUAUAGCCUUUAAAGUAAAAGUGAGGCGACUCACAAGGACAAGUCGUAGCAAAAGCUAUGGCACCAACAAACGCUUACAAACAAACAAAACACGCAUGAAGACGACGAUGAUGCUUCAUUAGAUGAGUCGAGUCGUAAGCCAGGCUCUUCGAUCUCCGCUUGCGUUUCUCGCAAACCCUAAUUCUUGGCACAUCCCCCUUUAGUCAUCUUUUGUUUGCACAGUGGAUCCCUCUCUGGUCAGCUCUAGGGUUUGUUUUUGGUGGCAUCGAGAAGCGGAGCUGCAUCGACUCGGUGUGUGCGCGUCGAGGUUUCACACAUCGGCACCGGAGUGGCGUCGUCGCACGAGAGGCUUGGGAAUUGGCGGUGAGGGUCUGCGGUGAGAUUGAAAGGAUUUGAAGGGGAGUGGGCUUAACCGAAGGCCAAGAUGGUGCUCGCGGAGCUGGGGGGCCGCAUCUCGCGUGCCCUCCAACAGAUGAGCAGUGCCACUUUUAUUGAUGAGAAGGUGCUGACGGAGUGCUUGAACGAGAUUUCGCGAGCGCUCAUGUCGGCUGAUGUGCAAUUCAAGAUGAUCGGUGCCAUGCAAUCGAAUAUUAAGAAGACUGUGAACUUUGACGACCUCGCGGCUGGCCAUAACAAGAGGAAAAUCAUCCAGCAGGUGUGUUUUCUGAGACCUUGUUCUCAGUGUGUGUGUGUGUGUGUGUGAGAGAGAGAGAGAGAGAGAGAGAGAGAGAGAGAGAGAGAGUGAGUGUUGACCUAAUUAACCAUUGUCUGGAUCACAUGGAUUUGUACUCUAUUCGCAAGCGUGCUUUAUUAGCACGUGAGCCGGAGGGCUUGAAUGAUGGCUAGUGGUGUUUCAUGAUGUGAAAAGUACUAGUGUAAGUUUUUGCUCGAGAACCACCAUACGAUUUCGUUUUAGAGAAGGAGUUUUAAUUAGCUGAGUACCGAGCAAUGUUGUUUUGUUUUGUUUUUUUUUUCUGAAAAACUUUGUAUCAAAUUAUUCAGGCUGUCUUCAACGAACUGUGCAAAAUGCUCGAUCCUGGGAAGCCAGCAUUUGUACCGAAGAAGGGAAAACCCAAUGUUAUCAUGUUUGUCGGUUUGCAGGGUGAGCUGUCAAUUGGAACCCCUUUCUGAAACUUUACUUGAGCUUUAUUUUGCAUUGAUAAUCAGGUUCGAUAAGACGUGCAAUUGUUGGCGUUUUUUCGGUUUAGAAAUGAGUACUCACUCGAUCAAUCUUGUCCUUCAGGUUCGGGAAAGACCACAACUUGCACGAAAUAUGCAUAUCAUUAUCAAAAGAAGGGAUGGAAGCCAGCCCUGGUUUGCGCUGAUACGUUUCGAGCGGGUGCGUUCGAUCAGCUCAAACAGAAUGCGACGAAAGCUAAAAUUCCUUUCUAUGGCAGGUAAUUUGUGUUCUAAGCAGUCUUUCUCGACAAAUGUAUUGCCAGUAAUUUGUACAAAAUGAGUUGUAAAACGUCUGUUGAAUUCGAUUUUUCUAGAUAAUAGGAGAUAAGUCACUUGUUUUCAGUUCAAUUUGGAACGAUGCCAUUUCACUUGCAGGUGACCAAUCACGAAUAUCUGAGGGGAAAACUGGUAAUAAAGCCGUUUCAUUUUUUUCUCUUCAGCUACACAGAGACAGACCCAGUCAAGAUUGCUCAGGAGGGAGUUGAGAGGUUCAAGAAGGAGAACUGUGAUUUGAUUAUUGUCGAUACUAGUGGGCGGCACAAGCAGGAGGCAUCUUUGUUUGAGGAGAUGCGUCAACUUGCUGAAGUCACGGUAAGUAAUUUCAUGGCAAUCAUUUAACGAUGUAAUGAGCUUAGUCAAUUGCAUGGCUUCAGAGUCAUAUAAUUUCACACGCUAAAGCUUAGCUGGAAGAUGAAGCUUAAAGUGAUGAUUUCCAACUAGAUUGUCAUGCGAUUUUAGCGAUUUGUAAGUGUUUUGUAGAUUCACACGACCUUCGAAUUCCCUGGUUUAAAUCGGACGAGAGUGGAAUUUGAGGAGACAAAUGUCAUAUCUCUUACGGAUAUUUCAGCCUUGCGAUAUUAGUGUUGUAAGUUACAGAGAAAAUGGUCCAUCAUGGUGAAGGAACACACAUAAAUCGUGGGUAGCCUUGUUAAAGACAUGAAUGUCAUUCGGAACGUGCACUGCAUAGUUUUGUAGAGAGUGCCCUUAUCCAUGGUUAAUCUGGAAUCAGGCUGACAAACAAGUGUGCUGCGUGAGUGCAGAGUCCAGAUCUUGUGAUAUUUGUGAUGGAUAGCAGCAUAGGACAGGCGGCUUUCGAUCAAGCUCAGGCUUUCAAGCAAAGUGUAGCUGUCGGGGCAGUUAUUGUAACUAAGAUGGAUGGGCAUGCCAAGGGAGGAGGUGCUCUCAGCGCGUAAGUUUGACCUAAGUAAUUUAUAUCUUUUAUCAAGGAUAAUGUGUAACUUUGUUGGAUGAUAAGUCAGGGCAAACUAUCAAUCGUUGUCCGGAUUACAGACCGCUAAACAUGGCCUUUGGUUUCAGAGUGGCAGCCACAAAAAGUCCGAUUAUCUUCAUAGGUACAGGAGAGCACAUGGAUGAGUUCGAGGCCUUUGAGACCAAGACCUUUGUAAGUCGACUUCUAGGUGAGUUUCAUGUCGUUUAUAUUACAUAACGCUGUGUUGUUGUAUUGUGGGCUACAAUUUAUGUCUGAUCUAGCUGAUCGAUUAUAAUGUCUGUCAUGUCGCUCCUUUCCAGUUUUCUUUAGGAUGCUGGAAGUAAUAUUGGAAUUUUCUCGGGUGCAGGUAUGGGUGACUGGUCAGGCUUUAUGGAAAAGAUUCAAGAUGCCGUCCCAAUGGACCAGCAACCCGAGCUACUCCAAAAGCUGUCCGAGGGCAAUUUUACUUUGCGCAUCAUGUAUGAGCAAUUUCAGAACAUCCUGAAAAUGGGUCCUCUCAGCCAGGUGACUGACUACUUUCCGAUUUUUGUUUGCGUUUAUUGCUCAUCCUGGAAUUUUUCUGAGGGGAACUUUUUUGUUUCUAAACAAUGGAGGUUCGAUAGUUGUACAUCUUCAAGUUAAUGGUUAUUUUAAAAAAAAAAAGUCCUACUUUGGACAUGUACUGAAGUGCCUGUUGUGUUAUUUGGCAGGUGAUGUCAAUGAUUCCAGGUUUUAGUCAAGAGUUUAUGCCGAAAGGUCGAGAAAAAGAAAGCCAGGCUAAGAUUAAGAAGUUUACGACAAUGAUGGAUUCUAUGACAGAUGAAGGUAUCCUUUCUUGGUCUUUCUCUGUGGUCUCAAAAUACGUAUGUUUCCUUACUGGAAGUCGGCUUGUUUCUUUGUCGUCCUGUUUACACUUUUGCUUGAUCAGUUUUUCGUUAGUGAGUUCAACGAUGUUAUUGGCCUCAUAUUAAUCUUUGUGUAAUUUCUGGUGGUGCAGAACUAGACAGCACAAACCCAAAGCUAAUGACGGAUUCACGCAUAUACAGAAUUGCGAGGGGUUCUGGACGUGGCUUGCGUGAGGUUCAUGAAAUGCUGGAGGAAUUUAAGCGAUUGGCCAAGAUCUGGAGUAAGAUGAAAGGACUUAAGAUUCCUAAAAAGGGUGAUAUGAGUGCUAUGUCUCGGAAUAUGAAUGCACAGCACAUGAGUAAGGUGCUUCCACCUCAGAUGUUGAAGCAAAUCGGAGGAAUUGGAGGCUUGCAAUCGCUCAUGAAGCAGAUGAACUCCAAAGAGUUCUCCGGCAUGUUUGGAGGUGGUGAUGGUUUAGAUAUGAAGUAGUGUACUUGAACUGUAGGUUUUAUUACUCUUGAUU